rnacentral:rRNA from 1 species
UACGUAGGGGGCUAGCGUUGUCCGGAAUCAUUGGGCGUAAAGCGCGUGUAGGCGGUCCGGUAAGUCCGCUGUGAAAGUCGAGGGCUCAACCCUCGAAUGCCGGUGGAUACUGUCGGGCUUGAGUACGGGAGAGGCGAGUGGAAUUCCUGGUGUAGCGGUGGAAUGCGCAGAUAUCAGGAGGAACACCAAUAGCGAAGGCAGCUCGGUGGGACGGUACUGACGCUAAGGCGCGAAAGCGUGGGGAGCGAACAGG